AUAUGGUCGCCUCGCGCAUGCGGGGUUAUCCAAAGGUGCCUGUUUACAGGUGUCGCCCGAGGAUGGGUUUGCGUUCUAUCAGCUUGUUGGCGGGGUAACGGCCCACCAAGGCAAUGACGGAUAGCUGGUCUGAGAGGAUGGUCAGCCACACUGGGACUGAGACACUGCCCAGACUCCUACGGGAGGCUGCAGUCGAGAAUCAUUCGCAAUGCGCGCAAGCGUGACGAUGCGACGCCGCGUGGAGGAUGAAGGCCUUCGGGUUGUAAACUCCUGUCAUGAGGGAACAAAGCUUGCGGGUUAAUACCCCGUGAGUGUGAUGGUACCUCAAGAGGAAGUCACGGCUAACUCUGUGCCAGCAGCCGCGGUAAUACAGAGGUGGCAAGCGUUGUCCGGAUUUACUGGGCGUAAAGGGUGCGCAGGCGGUUCGGUAUGUCGGAUGUGAAAUCUCACGGCUCAACCGUGAAAGGUCAUUCGAAACUGCCGGACUAGAGUACUGGAGAGGAGAGCGGAAUUCUUGGAGUAGCGGUGAAAUGCGUAGAUUUCAAGAAGAACACCGGUGGCGAAGGCGGCUCUCUGGACAGUUACUGACGCUGAGGCACGAAAGCCAGGGUAGCGAAGAGGAUUAGAUACCCUCGUAGUCCUGGCCGUAAACGAUGUGCACUUGGUGUGGGGAGGAGUUAUCCCCUCUCCGUACCGGAGCUAACGCGUUAAGUGCACCGCCUGGGGAGUACGGCCGCAAGGCUAAAACUCAAAGGAAUUGACGGGGGCCCGCACAAGCGGUGGAGCAUGUGGCUUAAUUCGAUGCAACGCGAAGAACCUUACCUGGGUUUGACAUGCCCGUCGUAUUCUCCUGAAAGGGAGAAGUCAGCUCGGCUGGACGGUGCACAGGUGCUGCAUGGCUGUCGUCAGCUCGUGCCGUGAGGUGUUGGGUUAAGUCCCGCAACGAGCGCAACCCUUGUGUUUAGUUGCCACUCCUGAUUUUGUUGGGAAGCACUCUAGACAGACUGCCCGUGACAAGCGGGAGGACGGAGGGGAUGACGUCAAGUCAGUAUGGUCCUUAUACCCAGGGCUGCACACGUGCUACAAUGGCCGGUACAGAGGGCGGCGACGCCGCGAGGCGGAGCAAAUCCCGAAAGCCGGUCUUAGUUCGGAUCGCAGUCUGCAAUUCGACUGCGUGAAGUCGGAAUCGCUAGUAAAUGC
rnacentral:rRNA from 1 species